UUCCUCAAAAAACUAAAAAUAGAACUACCCUACGACCCAGCAGCUGCACUACUAGGUAUUUAUCCAAGGGAUACAGGUGUGCUGUUUCGAAGGAACACACGCACCCCCGUGUUUACAGCGGCACUAUCAACGAUAGCCAAAGUAUGGAAAGAGCCCAAAUGUCCAUCAAUGGAUGAAUGGAUAAGGAAGAUUUGGGACAUGUGUAUAUAC